GCAUAUGUGGGGCAGAGGUUAGCAUGUCCGCCUGAGACACCGAUUGCCUGGGUUCAAAUCCCGGCAUGAAUA
rnacentral:tRNA from 1 species